rnacentral:rRNA from 1 species
CAUAAUCAUUAGUUUUUUAAUUGAAAGCUGGUAUGAAUGAUUGGACAAGAAACUUUCUGUCUCAUAUUUAUUUUUUGAAUUUUAUUUUUUAGUUAAAAAGCUUAGAUUUUUUUGUAAGACGAGAAGACCCUAUAGAGUUUAAUAUUUUUAUUUACAUUUAGAUUAUAGAAUUAGAAUUUUUUUGUUUUAUAAAGUAUUUGGUUGGGGUGACAUAAAAAUUUAUUAAACUUUUUAUUAAUUGAAAUAUAGAUUUAUAGAUUAUUGACUUAUAAAAAUAGUUAAAAGAUUAAAUUACCUUAGGGAUAACAGCGUAAUUUUUCUAAAGAGUUCAUAUCGAAAGAAAAGAUUGCGACCUCGAUGUUGGAUUAAAGUUUAAAUUUGGUGUAGAAGCUAAAUGGUUUAGUCUGUUCGACUAUUAAAACUUUACAUGAUCUGAGUUUAAACCGGCGUGAGCCAGGUUGGUUUCUAUCUUCAAUUAGUUAAAAUAUUUUAGUACGAAAGGACCAAAUAUUUUUUAAAUUAAUUUAUUUUUGUUGAAUGAAAUU